rnacentral:rRNA from 1 species
UGGGGAAUCUUGGACAAUGGGGGCAACCCUGAUCCAGCGACGCCGCGUGGGUGACGAAGGCCUUCGGGUUGUAAAGCCCUUUUGCCGGGGAAGACGAUGGCGGUACCCGGCGAAUAAGCACCGGCUAACUCCGUGCCAGCAGCCGCGGUAAGACGGAGGGUGCUAGCGUUGUUCGGAAUCACUGGGCGUAAAGGGCGCGCAGGCGGCCAGGUCAGUCGGGCGUGAAAGCCCGGGGCUCAACCCCGGAACGGCGCCCGAGACGGCUUGGCUCGAGACCGGGAGAGGAGGGUGGAAUAGCCAGUGUAGAGGUGAAAUUCGUAGAUAUUGGCUGGAACACCGGUGGCGAAAGCGGCUCUCUGGCCCGGUUCUGACGCUGAGGCGCGAAAGCGUGGGGAGCAAACAG